rnacentral:rRNA from 1 species
UACGAAGGGGGCUAGCGUUGUUCGGAAUUACUGGGCGUAAAGGGCGCGUAGGCGGUCCCUCAAGUCAGGGGUGAAAUCCCGGGGCUCAACCCCGGAACUGCCCUUGAAACUGCAGUGCUAGAAUUCUGGAGAGGCGAGUGGAAUUCCGAGUGUAGAGGUGAAAUUCGUAGAUAUUCGGAAGAACACCAGUGGCGAAGGCGGCUCACUGGCCCGGUACUGACGCUGAGGUGCGAAAGCGUGGGGAGCAAACAGG